rnacentral:rRNA from 1 species
CAUGCAAGUCGAACGGAAAGUGCUCAGCUUGCUGGGUGACUCGAGUGGCGAACGGGUGAGUAACACGUGGGUGAUCUGCCCUGCACUUUGGGAUAAGCCUGGGAAACUGGGUCUAAUACCGAAUACACCCUGCUGGUCGCAUGGCCUGGUGGGGGAAAGCUUUUGCGGUGUGGGAUGGGCCCGCGGCCUAUCAGCUUGUUGGUGGGGUAAUGGCCUACCAAGGCGACGACGGGUAGCCGGCCUGAGAGGGUGUCCGGCCACACUGGGACUGAGAUACGGCCCAGACUCCUACGGGAGGCAGCAGUGGGGAAUAUUGCACAAUGGGCGCAAGCCUGAUGCAGCGACGCCGCGUGAGGGAUGACGGCCUUCGGGUUGUAAACCUCUUUCAGUAGGGACGAAGCGCAAGUGACGGUACCUAUAGAAGAAGCACCGGCCAACUACGUGCCAGCAGCCGCGGUAAUACGUAGGGUGCGAGCGUUGUCCGGAAUUACUGGGCGUAAAGAGCUCGUAGGUGGUUUGUCGCGUUGUUCGUGAAAACUCACA